UACGUAGGGGGCAAGCGUUGUCCGGAAUUACUGGGCGUAAAGCGUGCGUAGGUGGUCUGUUAAGUCUGAUGUGAAAGCCCUGGGCUCAACCUGGGAAUGGCAUUGGAUACUGGCAGGCUAGAGUGCGGUAGAGGAUGGCGGAAUUCCCGGUGUAGCAGUGAAAUGCGUAGAGAUCGGGAGGAACAUCUGUGGCGAAGGCGGCCAUCUGGACCAGCACUGACACUGAGGCACGAAAGCGUGGGGAGCAAACAGG
rnacentral:rRNA from 1 species